CCCCGGCCCCCCGGCCCCGCGGCAGGCGGGGAUCAGUGUCUUCCCCUCAGGCAUAAAUCGCACGUCUCGUCCUUUGCAUGACACUGCUGUCCUGCUCCUGCCUAUCCGUCAGCUAGUUUGCCUCACACAUUUUGGGCUGAAAGCGUGUUGUUUGGGAAAGCAGCCUGUUCCAGUGAUUUACAGUCUUGUACAAUUUUAGCAUCGUAGAACAGUUUAGGUUGGAAAAGACCUGCAAGAUCACCAAGUCCACCUGUUAAUCUGACACAGCCAAGCCACCACUAAAACAUGUCCCCCAGUGCCAGGUCUAUACCUCUUCCAAAUUUUUCUAGGGAUGGUGACUUCACCUGUUCCAAUUCUGGAUCACAACCGGCAUCAGAUCAAAGUGGUGACAUCAGGAAAGAACAUGUAACCAUGGCCAUAAGGAGGUAUCCAGGAGUUCAGUGCUGAAGAGCUGAUGAAAAUAAAUUGGAGGAGGAGGAGGAAAAAUGAAAACUGUUAUUGAACUCAUUUCAAAAUGCACAGAAGUAACAACUCUGCUUUUAAGUUUAUACAAAGUGCAAGAGACAAGCAUGUUUUUAACUGUGGAAGGUCCUGUCUUGCAGUAACCUGUGUCAAUCUGUGUUUAGUUCUGCCACACAACAAGUGCCAAGUUCUCUACUCCAUCCUGUUGGACCUGCUUUGGUUAACACUGACAGUGGCUUUCAAAACCAGAGUGAGCUUUCAAGCUCUGGUGUUUCAGCCCUUGCAUAAACAGUUCCACUGACUUUAAGAAGUGCCAUAGGUGGUGCCCCCAGCUUGGCACACUGUGAGUAGGACAUUUUUGUCACCAUAGGCAAAGUGAUCAAAUGCCUGCACUCCUUUCUAAAAUGCUUUGUUCUCAGGAUUAACAGCCUCCUUCUAAGAGCUGAAAGAAAGGUUUUCCAGGUUGUAUCUGCAGCUGUGCAGAUGCCUUUAGAUCUCAGAAGCUGAACUGCACUCAACCAGGAAACUGAUGAAGAAGGCUGUUCUAUCCCUACUACAAGGAACACAAACUGGGCACAGCUCCACUUGGUUCCUUCUUUUCAUUUUUAACUGUACAAAGUAAAGACAUAAAGGAAAUAACAGAGCCAGGACUGGGAUGACCAACUCCAAGUACAAAUAAAUCAGUGCUCUUCUUUUAAGGGUUUGAGCUGCAGCAAAGCUUAGAAGUGCUUGUUAAACAGAAACUGGAGUGUGAGGGUGAGGAAAGAGAAUAGGGAAGAGAAGAAUGUCUAAGUGUUUUUCAGAUAUUCUGGACCAAUUCAAGUUAAUGCUGCUUCACUGCUUCAGUGGAAUGCAACCAGCUCAGAACAGCACAGCACCUGGUCCCGCUGUUCAGUUCACACUUGGGAAAUGGAAGACUUGUUUUGCUUGUUACUGAAAAAACAUGUUUUCUCUGGGCUGAAGUACAGCAAUUAUUAACAGCUUACUCUAUUUAGACAGUGCUGCCAGACAACAGAAAGAAAAUAUACAAUCCAAUGCAAUAAAAAAGGAGUGGUAGACAUCCAAGUGGAGUAAUUUGCAGUGAAAACUGGCAAGGGUCCUGUAGUUAAACCUUCUUUUAAUAAAAAGUCUAUGGAACCUU